CAGGCCGGCCGGGCGGCCGCGUGACGCCGUACCUCGUGUACGACGUACCGAGGAAGGUCCGGACUCCACUGGGCGAGGUGGUGGGUAACACCCACCCGAGGAGACUCGCGGGACAGUGCCACAGAGACAGACCGCCAGCGGCUCCGAUCCGUCGGAGUGCGGGUAAGGGUGAAACGGUGGUGUAAGAGACCACCAGCACCCCGGGUGACCGGGGUGGCUGGGUAAACCCCACUCGGAGCAAGGCCAAGAGGGCCGACUGUAAUCAGUCGGCCUGCGCGAGCGAUCGAGGGUGGCCCGCCCGAGCUCGCGGGUAGGCCGCAGGAGGGCGUCGGCAACGGCGCUCGUAGAUGGAUGGUCGCCGCGCCGGGUUCUGCGAACCCGGCGCACAGAAUCCGGCCUACAGGCCGGCCUGUCCC
rnacentral:RNase_P_RNA from 1 species